CCCAGGUGCUGCCAUGGGGUCCUGCCUGUGGCCUCUGGGUUCUGUAAGUCUGAACAGCCCUGAUUAGUGUGCACAGCUGUGCUAAGGAGCGCUCCAGUCUUCAAUGAUUUCACUUUUGACCAUCAGCCUGGAUGUGUCCUCCCAACUGGAAGGGCUUCUUUCACCUUGAUGAUCCUUGAGGUCUCUUCCAACAAAGGUCAUUCCAUGACUCUAUGAUUCACCGACUGCAUCGCAUCCCAUAAGGAAUCUCAAUGCAGCCCUUCAUCUUGAUACUACUUUAAGCCCCAUUUAAAGCCUACGUUGUUGAAGGACUUGGAUGGAAGGAAAACGUUUCAGAAGCACCAGAAUGAUUUAAAAGUCAUACUGGGUCCCAAAGGAGGGAACAGCAGCUCCUUCCACCCCAUGGCCACCCUCCAUCAGACAGCACCAUGAACCAGUCUAUGCCUGGCUGCUGACUCCUGCAGGACUGAUGCUGGGCUCAGGAGCAGGCUCCUGCGUGCUCUGUUAGGAGCUGUAAGUAAACCAUAAGAGAGAACUGUCUGGCAGACUUGGCAAUUCACUUUAUACCUUCACCUCCUUUGUGAAAUGGGAGUGAUGGGUGUACCAUCACUGCACAUGUAUGAAGUGGGCUUAUGAGAGGUAAAAGCGAGGCUGCUCGCUCUCUAUUUAUAAGGAGCGCUCUGAUUCGAGGCAGGUUAAGUUUUUAUCAUUA
rnacentral:lncRNA from 1 species